rnacentral:rRNA from 1 species
UGGGCCUAAAGCAUCCGUAGCCGGCUCUGCAAGUCUUCGGUUAAAUCCACCUGCUUAACAGAUGGGCUGCUGGAGAUACUACAGAGCUAGGGAGUGGGAGAGGCAGACGGUAUUCAGUGGGUAGGGGUAAAAGCCUCUGAGCCAGGGAGGACCACCAGUGGCGAAGGCGGUCUGCCAGAACACGUUCGACGGUGAGGGAUGAAAGCUGGGGGAGCAAACCGG